UCUCUGUGCACUUGCUGUCUGCGGAGC
rnacentral:piRNA from 1 species